CCUACGGGUGGCUGCAGUGGGGAAUAUUGCACAAUGGAGGAAACUCUGAUGCAGCGACGCCGCGUGAGUGAAGAAGUAAUUCGUUACGUAAAGCUCUAUCAGCAGGGAAGAAAAUGCCGGUACCUGAGUCAGACGCCCCGGCUAACUACGUGCCAGCAGCCGCGGUAAUACGCAGGGGGCAAGCGUUAUCCGGAUUUACUGGGUGUAAAGGGGGCGUAGACGGUGCGCCAAGUCAGAAGUGAAAUGCCGAAGCUUAACUGCGGAACUGCUUUGGAAACUGGCGAACUAGAGUGCGGGAGGGGUAAGCGGAAUGUCUGGUGUAGCGGUGAAAUGCGUAGAGAUUAGAAGGAACACCGGUGGCGAAGGCGGCUUACUAGGCCAUAACUGACGUUGAGGCUCGAAAGCGUGGGGAGCAAACAGGAUUAGAUACCCGGGUAGUC
rnacentral:rRNA from 1 species